AACCUAGCACACCUGCGGUGUGUACCUGCGGAGGGAUCAUUACAGAGUUGCAAAACUCCCUAAACCAUUGUGAACGUUACCUAAACCGUUGCUUCGGCGGGCGGCCCGGGUCCUUCCCGGCGCCCAUCGGCCCUCGCGGGCGCCCGCCGGAGGUAAACCAAACUAUUGCAUUGUAUGGCCUCUCUGAGUCUUCUGUACUGAAUAAGUCAAAACUUUCAGCAAUGGAUCUCAGAUCGGAAG
rnacentral:misc_RNA from 1 species